rnacentral:tRNA from 1 species
CAAAGAAUAGUUUAACUUAGAAUCCUAGCUUUGGGGGCUAGGGGUGGGAGUUAAAAUCUCCUUUCUUUGA